rnacentral:rRNA from 1 species
CCUACGGGUGGCAGCAGUGGGGAAUAUUGCACAAUGGGCGCAAGCCUGAUGCAGCCAUGCCGCGUGUGUGAAGAAGGCCUUCGGGUUGUAAAGCACUUUCAGCGGGGAGGAAGGCGGUGAGGUUAAUAACCUCAUCGAUUGACGUUACCCGCAGAAGAAGCACCGGCUAACUCCGUGCCAGCAGCCGCGGUAAUACGGAGGGUGCAAGCGUUAAUCGGAAUUACUGGGCGUAAAGCGCACGCAGGCGGUCUGUCAAGUCGGAUGUGAAAUCCCCGGGCUCAACCUGGGAACUGCAUUCGAAACUGGCAGGCUAGAGUCUUGUAGAGGGGGGUAGAAUUCCAGGUGUAGCGGUGAAAUGCGUAGAGAUCUGGAGGAAUACCGGUGGCGAAGGCGGCCCCCUGGACAAAGACUGACGCUCAGGUGCGAAAGCGUGGGGAGCAAACAGGAUUAGAUACCCAGUAGUC